rnacentral:tRNA from 1 species
GGCGCGAUAGCAAAAUGGUUAUGCAGCGGCCUGCAAAGCCGUAGACGCCAGUUCGAUUCUGGCUCGCGCCU